ensembl:lncRNA
CGAUGGAGAGGGGUCAUUUAGCUGGAGGGGUCUCUCUCUCUCUCUGUGUGUUUGUAGUCUCUCGAUGGAGAGGGGUCAUUUAGCUGGAGGGGGUCUCUCUCUCUCUCUGUGUGUUUGUAGUCUCUCGAUGGAGAGGGGUCAUUUAGCUGGAGGGGGUCUCUCUCUCUCUCUGUGUGUUUGUAGUCUCUCGAUGGAGAGGGGUCAUUUAGCUGGAGGGGGUCUCUCUCUCUCUCUCUGUGUGUUUGUAGUCUCUCGAUGGAGAGGGGUCAUUUAGCUGGAGGGGGUCUCUCUCUCUCUCUGUGUGUUUGUAGUCUCUCGAUGGAGAGGGGUCAUUUAGCUGGAGGGGGUCUCUCUCUCUCUCUCUGUGUUUGUAGUCUCUCGAUGGAGAGGGGUCAUUUAGCUGGAGGGUCUCUCUCUCUCUCUGUGUGUUUGUAGUCUCUCGAUGGAGAGGGGUCAUUUAGCUGGAGGGGCUCUCUCUCUCUCUCUGUGUGUUUGUAGUCUCUCGAUGGAGAGGGGUCAUUUAGCUGGAGGGGGUCUCUCUCUCUCUCUGUGUGUUUGUAGUCUCUCGAUGGAGAGGGGUCAUUUAGCUGGAGGGGGUCUCUCUCUCUCUCUGUGUGUUUGUAGUCUCUCGAUGGAGAGGGGUCAUUUAGCUGGAGGGGGUCUCUCUC